rnacentral:rRNA from 1 species
GAUCGCGCUAACUCCSUGCCAGCASCCGCGGUAAUACGGAGGAUCCGAGCGUUAUCCGGAUUUAUUGGGUUUAAAGGGAGCGUAGGCGGACUAUUAAGUCAGCUGUGAAAGUUUGCGGCUCAACCGUAAAAUUGCAGUUGAUACUGGUCGUCUUGAGUGCAGUAGAGGUAGGCGGAAUUCGUGGUGUAGCGGUGAAAUGCUUAGAUAUCACGAAGAACUCCGAUUGCGAAGGCAGCUUACUGGACUGUAACUGACGCUGAUGCUCGAAAGUGUGGGUAUCAAACAGGAUUAGAUACCCUGGUAGUCCACACAGUAAACGAUGAAUACUCGCUGUUUGCGAUAUACGGCAAGCGGCCAAGCGAAAGCAUUAAGUAUUCCACCUGGGGAGUACGCCGGCAACGGUGAAACUCAAAG